AGAGAAUUGCAUAUCGGGUCUCUAAUCUUGGUAGAGACAGUUAUAUGUUUUCGCUGUAAGGGCAGUCCAACAAGCAUGUUUCCUACUUUUAUUCACCUCACUCCAGACGGGGGGAUUCUUCAGUUCCCUGGGAAAAAUCGUAAACUGAAUUGGAGUAGAAACAGGCCAUAUUCAAGUACCAAGGUCACAAGUCUUAAAGGACUUAGAUUAU
ensembl:snoRNA